CCUACGGGUGGCUGCAGUGAGGAAUAUUGGUCAAUGGGCGAGAUCCUGAACCAGCCAAGUCGCGUGAGGGAAGACGGUUCUAUGGGUUGUAAACCUCUUUUGUAGGAGAAUAAAACCCGGGACGUGUCCCGGACUGCGUGUAUCCGAAGAAUAAGCAUCGGCUAACUCCGUGCCAGCAGCCGCGGUAAUACGGAGGAUGCGAGCGUUAUCCGGAUUUAUUGGGUUUAAAGGGUGCGUAGGCGGCCCGUUAAGUCAGCGGUAAAAUUCGGGGGCUCAACCCUGACGUGCCGUUGAAACUGGGAGGCUUGAGUAGGCGAGAGGUACGCGGAAUGCGCGGUGUAGCGGUGAAAUGCAUAGAUAUCGCGCAGAACUCCGAUUGCGAAGGCAGCGUACCGGCGCCAGACUGACGCUGAGGCACGAAAGCGUGGGGAUCGAACAGGAUUAGAUACCCUAGUAGUC
rnacentral:rRNA from 1 species